CAUGAAAAGACUGGGGCUAGGUGAUUUGGGGGCGGGGCGGAGGAAGCAAGCCUAGAAGCCUUCUAUUUUUUCGCUUGCGUCAGGCUUGUGUCCUUCCUCCGCCCCGCCCCCAAAUCACCUAGUCCCAGUCUUUUCAUGU